rnacentral:rRNA from 1 species
CGGACGGGUGAGUAACACGUGGAUAACCUACCUAUAAGACUGGGAUAACUUCGGGAAACCGGAGCUAAUACCGGAUAAUAUAUUGAACCGCAUGGUUCAAUAGUGAAAGACGGUUUUGCUGUCACUUAUAGAUGGAUCCGCGCCGCAUUAGCUAGUUGGUAAGGUAACGGCUUACCAAGGCAACGAUGCGUAGCCGACCUGAGAGGGUGAUCGGCCACACUGGAACUGAGACACGGUCCAGACUCCUACGGGAGGCAGCAGUA